rnacentral:lncRNA from 1 species
CUUGGGAGGAGAGUUGUCUCAUUGGCACUCAUACCACAUCUUCCUAUAUCUAUCUAUAUCUAUACAUUUUUUUUCAACAAAAGAAUACAUCACAAGAAUAUAAGUUUUGUAAGAAACGUGAGAAAUUGUGUUGGACUUGAAGAUAAGGCAAAGUGACAAAUAUCUGAAAGAAUGAAUCGUUUUAUGGUAUUAAACAAAGAAAUCAAAUGAUUUUUUGAUUAUUUAUAAC